rnacentral:rRNA from 1 species
AGGGAAUCUUCGGCAAUGGACGAAAGUCUGACCGAGCAACGCCGCGUGAGUGAGGAAGGUCUUCGGAUCGUAAAGCUCUGUUGCCAGGGAAGAAGGGCGAGGAGAGUAACUGCUCUUCGCUUGACGGUACCUGAGAAGAAAGCCCCGGCUAACUACGUGCCAGCAGCCGCGGUAAUACGUAGGGGGCAAGCGUUGUCCGGAAUUAUUGGGCGUAAAGCGCGCGCAGGCGGUUCUUUAAGUCUGGUGUAUAAGCCCAGGGCUCAACCUUGGGACGCACGGGAAACUGGGGGACUGGAGUGCAGGAGAGGAAAGUGGAAUUCCACGUGUAGCGGUGAAAUGCGUAGAGAUGUGGAGGAACACCAGUGGCGAAGGCGACUUUCUGGCCUGUAACUGACGCUGAGGCGCGAAAGCGUGGGGAGCAAAC